rnacentral:rRNA from 1 species
GCCAGUCGAGCGAGAAUGUGACUUCGGUUGCAUGACAGCGCGCACGGGUGAGUAACGCGUACACAAUCUGCCCUAUUCAAAGGAAUAGCCCUGGGAAACUGGGAUUAAUAUCUUAUAGUCCUUAAUACUGGCAUCGGUAUAAAGGUAAAGCUCCGGCGGAAUAGGAUGAGUGUGCGUACUAUUAGUUAGUUGGUGAGGUAACGGCUCACCAAGACGAUGAUAGUUAGGGGGCGUGAGAGCGUGAUC